ACUGCUGAGCCAUCUCUCCAGCCCCUUUAUUUACUUUUUAGAUUUAUGUUUAAGGACUGGGGAGAUGGCUCAGUAAU
rnacentral:pre_miRNA from 1 species